rnacentral:rRNA from 1 species
UACGUAGGGGGCCAGCGUUGUCCGAAGUUACUGGGCGUAAAGAGCGCGUAGGCGGGUCUUUAAGUGAGGGGUGAAAGGUUCAGGCUCAACCUGGACACUGCCUUUCAUACUGGAGGCCUUGAGUGCGGGAGAGGCGAGUGGAAUUCUUGGUGUAGCGGUGAAAUGCGUAGAUAUCAAGAGGAACCCCCAUGGCGAAGGCAGCUCGCUGGCCUGCAACUGACGCUGAGGCGCGAAAGCGUGGGGAGCAAACAGG